CCUACGGGAGGCAGCAGUGGGGAAUAUUGGACAAUGGGGGCAACCCUGAUCCAGCCAUGCCGCGUGUGUGAAGAAGGCCCUCGGGUUGUAAAGCACUUUCAGUGAGGAAGAACGCCUGGUGGUUAAUACCCAUCAGGAAAGACAUCACUCACAGAAGAAGCACCGGCUAACUCCGUGCCAGCAGCCGCGGUAAUACGGAGGGUGCGAGCGUUAAUCGGAAUUACUGGGCGUAAAGCGCGCGUAGGUGGCUUGAUAAGCCGGUUGUGAAAGCCCCGGGCUCAACCUGGGAACGGCAUCCGGAACUGUCAAGCUAGAGUGCAGGAGAGGAAGGUAGAAUUCCCGGUGUAGCGGUGAAAUGCGUAGAGAUCGGGAGGAAUACCAGUGGCGAAGGCGGCUUUCUGGACUGACACUGACACUGAGGUGCGAAAGCGUGGGUAGCAAACAGGAUUAGAUACCCUGGUAGUC
rnacentral:rRNA from 1 species